rnacentral:rRNA from 1 species
GACGAACGCUGGCGGCGCGCUUAACACAUGCAAGUCGAGCGAGAACCAGGGCUUCGGCCCUGGGGACAGCGGCGAACGGGUGAGUAACACGUGGAUAACCUGCCCUCGGCACCGGGGAUAGCCCGGGGAAACUCGGAUUAAUACCGGAUAGCCCUUCCGACUCUCGAGUCGGUCCGAAAAGGUAGCUUCGGCCUCUGGCCGAGGAUGGGGUCCGCGGCGGAAUUUAGCUUGUUGGUGGGGUAACGGCCUACCAAGGCUCCGAUCCGUAGCUGGUCUGAGAGGACGAUCAGCCACA